AAGAGACAGCAGCAGCCACGGUAAUACGUAGGUGGCAAGCGUUAUCCGGAAUUAUUGGGCGUAAAGCGCGCGUAGGCGGUUUUUUAAGUCUGAUGUGAAAGCCCACGGCUCAACCGUGGAGGGUCAUUGGAAACUGGAAAACUUGAGUGCAGAAGAGGAAAGUGGAAUUCCAUGUGUAGCGGUGAAAUGCGCAGAGAUAUGGAGGAACACCAGUGGCGAAGGCGACUUUCUGGUCUGUAACUGACGCUGAUGUGCGAAAGCGUGGGGAUCAAACAGGAUUAGAUACCCGCGUAGUCCCUGUCUCUUAUAC
rnacentral:rRNA from 1 species